rnacentral:rRNA from 1 species
CCUACGGGUGGCAGCAGUGGGGGAUAUUGGACAAUGGGGGAAACCCUGAUCCAGCGACGCCGCGUGAGUGAAGAAGUAUUUCGGUAUGUAAAGCUCUGUCAGCAGGGAAGAAAGAAAUGACGGUACCUGACCAAGAAGACUCGCCUAACUACGUGCAAGCAGCCGCUUUAAUACGUCGGCGGCAAGCGUAAUCCGGAUUUAUUGGGUUAAAAGGUGUCGCAGGCGGCCUGGUAAGUCAGCGGUAAAAGCCCGGGGCUGAACCACGGCCAGCCGUUGAAACUGGCGGGCUGGAGUUGGAGAGAAGUACGCGGAAUGCGCGGUGUAGCGGUGAAAUGCUUAGAUAUCGCGCAGAACCCCGAUUGCGAAGGCAGCGUACCGGCUCCACACUGACGCUGAGGCACGAAAGCGUGGGUAUCGAACAGGAUUAGAUACCCCUGUAGUC